GAAGAAAGAAAUAGAGCAGAGACAAUAAGAGAAAGAAGAAAGAAGGAGACAAAAAGAAAAAAAAUGGGGGUGUUUGGGGGUGUUAUCUUUCUCUUUUGUUUUGUUAUUUCCUUCUCUUC
rnacentral:ribozyme from 13 species